UCCCCUCCCCUUGGACGUCCACACAUCCCUUCACUUGGGACGUCCCACAUUGUUCCACGCCCAAGGCUGAUUGGCCUCUUUUGUUUGUUGGUUUUCAUCUGCUGGUAGCAACACAAACAAAGGGAGAAAGGUUAGAGAAGAGGAGAAAAAGAAGAUCAAAAAAAUAGAUCUAGUGUUGAUCACGAUCCAGACUUCGUUCAGAUUCAGCAGGCUGAAUUUUUUUAGAGAAAAAAAUUUAAUUUUUAGAGAG
rnacentral:lncRNA from 1 species